rnacentral:rRNA from 1 species
UACAGAGGUCUCAAGCGUUGUUCGGAUUCAUUGGGCGUAAAGGGUGCGUAGGUGGCGCCGUAAGUCGGGUGUGAAAUUUCGGAGCUUAACUCCGAAACUGCAUUCGAUACUGCGGUGCUUGAGGACUGGAGAGGAGACUGGAAUUCAUGGUGUAGCAGUGAAAUGCGUAGAGAUCAUGAGGAAGACCAGUGGCGAAGGCGGGUCUCUGGGCAGUAACUGACGCUGAGGAGCGAAAGCGUGGGGAGCGAACAGG